rnacentral:lncRNA from 1 species
UGUGAAGUUGCAUGAAGUUUAUAAAUGUUGACUCUUCAGGGAAGCCAUUUCAGCUUUGCCUCGGGUAAUUUGUCUUUCUUUUUUUCCCUCUCAGUAGAGAUGCUGGUGUCCCACAUCCUGUUGGUCUCGUCUCUCCGGGACUGUGGCCCUCCAGGAGAAAUUCCCUUCUGAAGGAGAAGCAACAGCCUAGAGGACCUCUUAGAAAGGACCGCAUCAUCAGCUAAGGAGGAAAAGUAACAAAGAACUUGAAGACUUUCAUGGCUCCCAGGCCCUGGAUGGAGGCAGACGGCAUCAGGCAGCUUCAGACAGAGAAUGGUGGAAGCUGAGGGGCAGCUAGGAUGCGCCUGGGGCUGCAAAGCCCAGGAUAUGAAUCAGAGAGAAAAAACUGAAGUCUUGUCCCAAAAAAAGGACAGGGAGGACAGCAAAGGAUUUUUCACUGACUUGUCUUUGGAAAAGACUCAGAAGAGCCCGUUAACUUGGCUUCCUCACUUUGCUCAUCAUACGCGGGUGAAUGGUUUGAAGAUGCUGGCCUAGCAAGAUGGCAACAGGUUUAAAACACUGGAUUCAUAAGAAGUUCCUUUUGUUCAGGUAACUACAUUUUUCUAAAAUUUCUCCCAAACUUUCCAUUUUCUCAAGUUAUUACAAGUUUUUAGAGUAUGCUUGAAUGAUUUAAUUAUGAAGAUUAACUGCAUUUUAAGCUUUGUUUUUCUGACAAUAGCAACCAGCUUUAUAAUAUUCAAUGAAAAGAACGUUCAAUUCUUUGGAGUUCAGAAAAAUAUUUUGCAAGUUAUUAUUUAAUAGUGCUUAUUUCUUUUGACAACAAUUUAGGCAAAACUCAUUUGAAACCAUCAGGUGUCAUUCUGAAACUGUGGCUAUCUCCAGUACUUGUACUUAGAAGUAUUGGAAGAUUGCUUCCAAAAAGCCUAGUGUAUGCUCUGAAUUCCUGGAAGAUACGGCUUCUAAAAAUUGCGUAAUAAUUGAUGCCUUGUAACAUAAUAAUUGCAUAAUGGUUGACGUUUUAACUUUAGUCCUAGAAGAGUGAUCUUAUAUGUCUGGAAUUUUAUAAAACUGUGCUUACGCAGGUCCAGUGACAAAGAUUUGAGCCCAGCUAUCAUGAUAUAAGGAGAUCGUUUUCGAUGCUGUUGGAGGACUUUGUGCCACUUAAAUAUGUUUAAUAACACAAAUGAUAUAUUUACUUGAUGAAUUACCUUACCCUGCCUUUACCAUUGUUUUUAACUAUUAGCCUGCAUUUCCCAACUUAAUUGUUACUAUCUCUGAGAGCCCCGCAGAUUCUUGCUUAAGAAAGCAGGCCAAACUUUGCUCUGAAAAGAGCCCUUAUUUUUCUGCUCAACACAAAGAAGUUCUUGAAGGAGGUAUUCAAUUAAUAUUGGGAGGAAAACGUCUCUUCCCAAAUAAACCAUUCUUCUACUUGAUCGGUAUUUGACUU